GGUAAGACUAAUUUAGUGGCAGAAUGCUUCAUUGUGGUUGAAGAUGGCACAGUUCGAUUCUGUGGUUUUACC
rnacentral:tRNA from 2 species